UGCGCAGGCGGUUUUGUAAGACAGAUGUGAAAUCCCCGGGCUCAACCUGGGAACUGCGUUUGUGACUGCAAGACUUGAGUGCGGCAGAGGGGGGUGGAAUUCCACGUGUAGCAGUGAAAUGCGUAGAGAUGUGGAGGAACACCGAUGGCGAAGGCAGCCCCCUGGGUCGACACUGACGCUCAUGCACGAAAGCGUGGGUAGCAAACAGGAUUAGAUACCCUGGUAGUCCACGCCCUAAACGAUGCGAACUAGGUGUUGGGGAAGGAGACUUCCUUAGUACCGCAGCUAACGCGUGAAGUUCGCCGCCUGGGGAGUACGGUCGCAAGAUUAAA
rnacentral:rRNA from 1 species